ACGGUAACAGGAAACAGCUUGCUGUUUCGCUGACGAGUGGCGGACGGGUGAGUAAUGUCUGGGAAACUGCCUGAUGGAGGGGGAUAACUACUGGAAACGGUAGCUAAUACCGCAUAACGUCGCAAGACCAAAGAGGGGGACCUUCGGGCCUCUUGCCAUCGGAUGUGCCCAGAUGGGAUUAGCUAGUAGGUGGGGUAACGGCUCACCUAGGCGACGAUCCCUAGCUGGUCUGAGAGGAUGACCAGCCACACUGGAACUGAGACACGGUCCAGACUCCUACGGGAGGCAGCAGUGGGGAAUAUUGCACAAUGGGCGCAAGCCUGAUGCAGCCAUGCCGCGUGUAUGAAGAAGGCCUUCGGGUUGUAAAGUACUUUCAGCGGGGAGGAAGGGAGUAAAGUUAAUACCUUUGCUCAUUGACGUUACCCGCAGAAGAAGCACCGGCUAACUCCGUGCCAGCAGCCGCGGUAAUACGGAGGGUGCAAGCGUUAAUCGGAAUUACUG
rnacentral:rRNA from 1 species